GUUCUGUCACUUGUUUGGAGGGUUAGGGAAAGCUGGCAACACUGUGCAAUUAGAUUCUGAGAAACUCCAGGUGAAGUUUAAUUGACAUAACACUCCAAAAGCUUUCCAGAAAGUGGAUUAUGCAAACGGGGAGCCUUCAAGUGCACAUUAGGUCAGUGCACAUCUCAGCAAGGCCUCCUGGUGACUCUUGGAUGAGAGAAAAGUCUUGAAGGAAGCAGUAACACACUCAGACUUCCAGUUUCAGAGGUCAGAGCACAUGAACUUCACCUGCAUUACUUUAGCGUGCCGUAUGGAUGUAAUAAGACAGCAUGUGAUUUGGAUGUCUCACAGACCAACCAAAAGAACAUGAACUCUGUUCACCAUGCCUAGCAUACCCCAUCCAGAAAACAGCAGUGCUCAACCAUUUCAGUUUAUCAGACAAGAUGCACAAACAUGUUCUUAUGCUUUGGAGAUGUACGGUAAGAGUUUAUGUGUAAAAUAUCAGAACGUAAGCGAAUUUGAGCAGCCUCAUCUGCAUGUUGGUGGUUUGUGUAGACCCAAAUCAACACCAGAUCAGCUCGCCUUCUGUGCCUCUGCACUCAGCAUGCUUGUUUAUUGCUUUCCC